rnacentral:rRNA from 1 species
UACGGGGGGGGCAAGCGUUGUUCGGAAUUACUGGGCGUAAAGGGCUCGUAGGCGGCCAACUAAGUCCGACGUGAAAUCCCAAGGCUUAACCUUGGAACUGCGUCGGAUACUGGAUGGCUUGAAUUCGGGAGAGGGAUGCAGAAUUCCAGGUGUAGCGGUGAAAUGCGUAGAUAUCUGGAGGAAUACCGGUGGCGAAGGCGGCAUCCUGGACCGACAUUGACGCUGAUGAGCGAAAGCGUGGGGAGCGAACAGG